AACGAAGGGGGCUAGCGUUGCUCGGAAUCACUGGGCGUAAAGGGCGCGUAGGCGGCGUUUUAAGUCGGGGGUGAAAGCCUGUGGCUCAACCACAGAAUGGCCUUCGAUACUGGGACGCUUGAGUAUGGUAGAGGUUGGUGGAACUGCGAGUGUAGAGGUGAAAUUCGUAGAUAUUCGCAAGAACACCGGUGGCGAAGGCGGCCAACUGGACCAUUACUGACGCUGAGGCGCGAAAGCGUGGGGAGCAAACAGG
rnacentral:rRNA from 1 species